rnacentral:lncRNA from 10 species
GUUUAUGGAGAAGUAAAUUAUCCAAAGCACAUGGAAGAAUCCUCAAGCCUGCAAAUACUAUGACAUAAGUAUCUAUGCAAAUGUCUCUCAUAUUUGGAAUUGAGCUUCUACGAAGGCCAGUGCCAUUUUUCUCCUGCUGUUUACUGCCCAUCUCCAUGGAAAACAAGACACAUUCCCAGAAGUGAAAGUGCAGAUUCAAAGAACCUAAGGAUUGACAAACAAGCUCCAGUGACACUGUUUUAUAUUGCCUAUCUACUUAGAAACCAUACCUGCCAAAGAACACAACUGCAUUCACUGAGUGUCACGAACUUAACUCAUAUCACAGGAAGAGAGACUAAAGUCUGUCAACACAUCUGGACAGGGUUUUCUCACAAUUAUUUUCUCUGCUGGCCCAAUAGACUUUGUACCAGGCUGUUGUGUGUUCUCCAAACCCUUUGAAUCCCCCUAAAAAUAAUUUACUAGCCCUCAAAUUGUCACAUUUUAUGCAUCUCUCUUUCCCCAAUGAAUAAUGGUAUAUAACAUCUGUACACCAUUUGGUUAUUGGGAAAUCAUUCUCCUCUAAUUCCUCGAUGCUAUGCUAAAAUACAAUUUCGUAUGUCUUUUCUGCCACU